CUGAAGAAGUUCAUUUUAAUUGACUGAAAUGACACGGGGGAAUCUCUGAUGCAUUCUUCCUGAAUUCUUCUACAGUCAGCUCAGAGAUCAUCUAUAUCAAGUGAAUCAAGCCAACUAUUAAAGCAUCACUAACAAGAGAAAGACAUUUUAAUGUAUCAAGAAACCACUCUACGAAAUUUUACACAAGAUAUACCACUUAUUUUAAAGAGACUUCUGGCAAUGGACCAAAUCAAACCACCACCUUGGAGAAGUGAUUCUGCUGAGGUGGAAGGCACCGUUACACCACACGCGGAUUGAACAUUUAGGAGCCUGAGAUGGUGAUCAGUGAAUGGAAAACAUUCAGUAAUACUCGGUGAAUGUAUGAGAAUCAAAGCCUUCACCUGAUACCACCUAGAUACUACCAGGUGAGCUCUUGCCUGUCUUUCCAAUGUUAUCUCUCUUUUAAACUAAAACACUAGGAAGAGGCUAAAGCAAAAAGUCAGAUUUUCCACAUUUGGAGCUAAAUCUCUCUUAUAAAAAGAAACAAGAUAUUUUCACAAACCAGCAAGGAAAAUUCCAGAGGAAAAGCCAGGCAAAUCAGCAGAGUUUCCAAUCUGUCACCACUUUAAACCAUCUUGUAAAUCACUUCAGUUUAAUUUUAAAGGACAAAACACCACUGUCUUUAUGUCUUUUUCUUUUUAAGAAUUUAAUGAGAGGCUCCCAUUGCUUAUCUGAUCAAAUCCAAGUUUUCCAGUCUGGUUUUGAAGAACUUCCACAGCCUGGCUGCAUUUCCACUGUCCAGGCAGCUAUCAGAAUUACCUUCCUGACACACAGACUGAAUUAUUCACUCUCGUACUCAAAAGUACUUCAAGGCUCCUCAUGACCUGAGAUAAAUUUCAAAUUCCUCACAUAUUUGGUGCUGGUCUUUCUUUCCGGUGUAUCUUCCCUGACAGUCUUCAAUCUUCGGCUAACUUCCCAAGUUGUCUUUCUCAGAUAUUCCUUACAUUUUCCUGGUUGUGUGUGUCUACAGUGUUCAGAUUGUUCCUGAACCACCUGCACUACUCUCUUCCAUAUCUGUUGUAAAAGUCAGCAGUCCCAAUACAAAAAGCAUCCAGUCUACCAAACUUCUCCAUUUUUUCUGCCUCCUUGAGAAUCAAUCUCUGUUUGAGGCCAGUGUGACUGGAACCCAUGCUGCUUCCAUAUCCCCCGUCUAUUUAAUACUCUAUCUUUCCAUUACAGUUAUUUAAGUAUUGUAACAUGUCUAUCAGCAUACAUACACACAUCUUUUAA